GACGAACGCUGGCGGCGUGCUUAACACAUGCAAGUCGAACGGAAAGGCCCUGCUUUUGUGGGGUGCUCGAGUGGCGAACGGGUGAGUAACACGUGAGUAACCUGCCCUUGACUUUGGGAUAACUUCAGGAAACUGGGGCUAAUACCGGAUAGGAGCUCCUGCUGCAUGGUGGGGGUUGGAAAGUUUCGGCGGUUGGGGAUGGACUCGCGGCUUAUCAGCUUGUUGGUGGGGUAGUGGCUUACCAAGGCUUUGACGGGCAGCCGGCCUGAGAGGGUGACCGGCCACAUUGGGACUGAGAUACGGCCCAGACUCCUACGGGAGGCAGCAGUGGGUAAUAUUGCACAAUGGGCGGAAGCCUGAUGCAGCAACGCCGCGUGCGGGAUGACGGCCUUCGGGUUGUAACCCGCUUUCGCCUGUGACGAAGCGUGAGUGACGGUAAUGGGUAAAGAAGCACCGGCUAACUACGUG
rnacentral:rRNA from 1 species